ensembl:lncRNA
UGGGAGGAGAACUUUUCUAUUCUAAGACAGGAUCUUGGGUUAGCUCAACAGAUCAGGAAUGAUCAGGAGUAUAAGACUUUCUUUAUAAUACAGAACAUUUACCUUGGAUAUCAAGGAGUGGCCAAGGCUUAAUUUAAAAAAUGACUGCUGUAUCCUACUGCUCCCCUCAAAACCUGAAUUUUUCAAGGACAUCAGAAAAAGCGCUUAAGUAAUCCUUGGCUUUGGGCCAUGGGGUAUGGUGUGGUAAAGGGAAGAUUUUGGAAUCUCAUACUAGAAAGAUAAAAAGAGGAGUAUCAGAGUGGCUGCAAUCCAGCGCUCUGCAGAAAGGUGGAGGUGCAAGUUCAGGGAGUCAAAACUUCGGGAAGCUGUGGAGGGGACAGAGAGCAAGGGUAAACAGCAAGCCAGCUUCUCCUCUCCGGGCAAAGGCAAGCCUCUAGCUCUUGGCACAAAGGCAUCUUCACUGUGGCCUGAUCUUGCCAGCGUCAAUUCUGAGAGACUCUGAAAGGGGUGAGACCAUCAAGGGAGUGACUUAUCAUGGCUCAGUUCCCAUGUCAAGGGGCUGAGUUGAGCUGGGAGCCUUGGUGUCACCCAACAAUCACUGCUGGUGGUGCUGUGAUGAUGUCACAGAGGAGCCCCACCCUGGUGUCCUCGGAGCUGGACCAAGGACCCAGAAGGAAAGUCCACCUUCCCAGCACAGCUGAGCCGUCCACCCUCUCGGCUACUUGUCAGGCUGACUACCAGCUCAAAGGGGGCCUGCACAAUCCAGAAACAAUGUCAACGGACGAUAUGAGUAAGCCUAGCAACCCCAAGACCCCUGAGCCCAAGCACUGUGAUCCCAGGUGUGAACAGAAGUGUGAGUCCAGCUGCCAGCCCAGCUAUUUAAAGAAGCUGCUGCGAGGCUGCUCUGAAAAGUGCUCACGCGAGAAGUGUCCUCCACCUCCAGAGUGCCCGCCGGCCGUGCCCCCCCAAGCCCUGCUCCAAGCCUUGCCCUCCUAAGUGCACCCCUGCCUGCCCACCCCCAGAGUGAGGCACCAUGGUUGCCACCACCAUGCCGCCACCACGGCCCCGUACGACGCCUGCGGCUGGAACCCAAGCCCUGACCUGACGAGUAAAGGUGACUUCUGCUGCGCAUGGCCUCCCAGGGUCCUGGGGGGUUUGCUUUCCUCCGUCGUCGUCGUUUCAGAGCAUGGAAGCACCAAGAACCAAUCCCUAAGGAGCGAGUGGGACCAGAGUUCCAGACCUCCACUACCAAAGCCCUUCGAGUCCCCGCUGCCCUCUGUCCCUGUCUGCUUCUUAGAGGAAGCUGCCCGUCCUGCAGAGUGCAUCGCAGGAGCACAGGCCCCUGGGAGAACAGUGAACAUGGCGGCAGCUGGGAAAAUGCAGGAACCCCAGGGAGUGAAACGUAGAGGGCCUGAGAGGAAAAGCGGAGGCGGACUUUAGCAAACUCUUAGUACGGUAUCCUAAUGGCUAUGCAGAUGGCUCUGAGAACCCACCGUGUGGGUUUAAACUCUAGCUCUGUUUCCUAGCAACUUUGUGAUUUAUGCAAGUUAUUUAAUUUUUCUGUGCCUCAGUUUCCUUCUCACUGCCGAAGUUGCAGCACUGUUCUGAGACUCGGAAGCUGACAAAUGCCUGGUGCACAGGGUACUGGAACAUAGGGGUACUGAGUGGAGGGAGUACCCUACACUUGGCCGGGCCUAACACUCACACAACUUAAUUGCCUGCACUUUUCUUCCUCGACGAAGUGUAAGACUCCUGAGCACACCGGUCAGGCUCUAAUACAACCCGCUAGACCCAGCUGGACAGUCUCACAAAAAUAGAAAAGGAGUUGUAUCCAUUCCUUGGGUUUGAUGCUGAGCUAUCCAAUGAUGUAACGUCACUAUUGAGAGGGUCCCAGUGAAAGGGACACAGGAGCUCUACUUUGCAGUUUUCUGUAAAUCUGUAGUAUUUCCAAAUGAAAACUUAGAUACAAAAAACUAGAUAUGUAUGUGGGGGGACCCCGUUAGGAAUGGACAGAGAGAAGGCACUCACAGCUAACACCUUAGUGGGGAUUAUUUACAAAGAGCUAGAGUCCACAUCAGACUGGCUUAAUUCACAAGAGGGAAUUUACUGGCUCAUGUUGCUGAGGAUAUGCAAGAGAGACAUUAGCACAGAGAACUGCAGCAACAAGGAAGCCCUUCAGGGGAUGGGUACGCAGAUUGCUCCUCCAUUUUAGUCUCUCUCAGCGCCCUGAGAUAUAUCCCACCCUCUCCUAAUGUCUCCCCCUGUGCACAAAUUGGGUAUGAGGACACUCCAGUUGUCUCCAGGAAAGGACACUGGUGGCCUAGAAGGUCAUGUGCCCACCCCUUUAGGCAAGCAGAUGACAGAGCUCUGCCAAGCAGAUCAACCGAGCUAUGGAUUAUUACAGUCCACAGUAUCUAAAUGGAAGUAGGUUUAGCAUUCUCUACAGUCAUAGGAAGAGGUCAUAAAAAAGGUCAGCUCUGGGAUGUUCUCCAAAUCAUGGCAUAUCAACAGCUCCAUCCUCCUCAGGCUAGAGGACGGUUCAGGCAACAGAGGGUAUGGCAAGUACAGAGAGUUCAAACUAUGCCAAAAAAAAAAAAAAAAAGAUACCAGAGACCCCCUUUAAGACCCAGGCCUUGUCAUCAGCUAGUUACCGAUGUAGGCCAUUAGAAGAGGGAGCAAGACAAUGACUUUAGGGGUCCACCUCCUCAUUUUUCAAAUGUGAAAAUUAGUGGUUACUUGUCUAAUGUGAAGAUGACUUGAAACCUCAGGGUCUCUAGGACAGGAUGAAAGCCUGAUCCUAGGAUCUCACACUCCAGAGCUCUGUACAGUACUGUCUGCUGGAGGCCAAGAACCACUAGAACCCCAUGUCAGAGCCAUGCGGGCUAUGGUGGAUGGCCGAUGACCACAGGAAAACCCUCCCACCUCACAGGAGAUCAUAAAGAAGGAAGCAAAAGGCUGAAGGUGAAGCUCAGAGUACAGCAAUUGCCUAACAUGCACAAAGCCCUGAGUUUGAUCCCCAGCACAGGGGAUAAAGAGGAACAAAAAGGAAGAAGGGGAAGAAAGGAAGGGGGAGAGAAUAAUGUGACACCCUUUUGCAUCUAUUAAAUGAUCACUUUCAAUUAAUAAGUCCCAGAACUCCCAUGUGAAAAUUGUGUCACUGUCAGUUGGAAUAUAAAUAAAUAUCAUUUUAGGAAACAAUUUGUCCAACAAGAUAAUAGACAUCAAAGGCAUGAAGUGAUUCACUAUUUUGACUCAAAGGAUUUACUUUAUAGAACUUAGGGCCAAAAAAAAUUUCUAACUGGGAAGAAAAAAUAAUUGCAAAAUGGGAGGAAAUGCUGUAUAAACAAAAGUGAUCAUCAUAGUAUAACUUUAAAAAUUCCAAUAUCUAACAAUGCAUGAUUAAAUGAACACGAACCUAUUACUCCAUGGAGUAUUACAGUCAUUUAAAAUGUACUGAAGAGGGGAUGUGGCUCAGUGAUGGAGUGCUUGCCUUGCGUGCAGUAGGCCCUGGGGUCCAAUCUCCAGCAAGAAAAGAAAAAUGUACUGAAGAAAAAAAAAGCUCACUUGAAUGUGCAUCAUAAAACAAUUAUCUGUAACAAAAAGCUUCAAUGAAUAAAAAUAAUAGAAAUUAAUUUGUGAACAUUCUAUGUUAGCAUAAUGGGGUGAUGAGUAAUGAUUACUUUUAUUUUUACUGGUGUUGUUAAUAUGCUUUUAUUUUAUAACAGGAAAAAUAAAUAAUCAUGAAAUAAUAAUUCAUUAAAUAAGUAUGAGCACUUCAGAGACCUCCCCAGAGUUCCCGGAAGACUUUAGCAGAGUAUCUCAGGGGACGUGCACCAUGCAGAUGGCACCUCACUUGGGUGCCUUCCGCCUGGAGUACCACUGCCG